UGUAGAGAACUACAGAAAUGGCGGAGCAGCAUUUUAGAACUAUAGUAAAGACACCUUGACGGAACAAUUAACACAGAUAAGAUGGCAGAACAGCAAAAAAAAACUGUUGACGUGAGGAGCGGCCAUGUUGAUACGCAGAGUUACAUGUGGUGACCAGGGGGACGCCGGACUUGCUGCCAGUCAAUGUUCUUCUGAGAUUCCAGCAGGAUCGACGUGCACAACGCGCUAAUUCAUCUGGCGCGGCCGGACUGCUCUUGAUUCAGUUCACAUCUCUUCGUCUGUCCUGUCAAUCUUUGAUGCACUGUUGGCUCUGACUCAUUUUUCAAAACAGCGAACAGAACAUGCACAGGAACGGCGACAGAAUGACUCACAGUUUUUGGAAUCUGGUCAACAAAAAGGGAAAA